UUCCUUUUUUCAAAUGAUUUUCGCAAUUUUAGUUAUUUCAUGGUGAGUAUGAGGAAGCACGGGAGAAGGACGGGGAAAUAACAAAUAAACUGAAAAUAAUGCAAAGAUAAACCGAUUUACCAUUUUAAAAAAGCGUGCUUGUAAAAUUGUAAUGGAUAAUCAUCAUCCAUCGUCAUAUUUUCCUCUCUAAUUCUCUAUCUUCCUUAAUUAUCUCCCCACUUUCGCCACUUUCAACGUCUCUCCCUCUGUAUCUGCCGCCUGUUCUAUCUUCGACUGGUUGAUCGCCAGAACGCCUCUCCGACCGAUCAUCGGGCCACCAUUCCGGUGAUGCGACAUGGCUUAUUUGCUGACUUGAUCCAUUGUUUGUCAAUUUUGGAGCACUUGGGAACACCCUCACAAAUUUACUUUGUUCCACCUCCCACUUACAGAUCCGUGUGCCUUUGUGUCUUGAUUCGAAAACUGGGGGAAGAAAAUUAUUUGUGGAUUGCGAACGUGGCACGGUUAUCUUUUCCUGCGUUUGAUGUUUUCGCUGUACACGCUCGGAAUCCAAUCAUGAGCUGCAUUCUGAAUUUGUUCAUGAGCUAGGGAAUAUAGGGUUAGGGUUUGUUGCAUUUCGAAAAUGUUCAAGAAAAUCAUGAAGGGUGGGGGCAAAAAGCCCUCUAAGUCUGAUCCCAAUGACAGACCGCUUUAUGGAAACGGCUCCCCUGGGAACCGCAAUGCGGCGCCUGCCAACGUGGGCGUCACCAAAGUUGGUACCGGCGCGUCAGGCCUUACGUUGGGCGGGCCUCCUCCUUCAGGUGCCAUGGAACCCCUCCCCUCGUUCCGGGAUGUGCCCGCUACGGAGAGGCAGAAUUUGUUCCUUCGGAAGUUGCAGGUUUGUUGUUACGUCUUGGAUUUCUCGGACAACUUGAAGUCAGUUCGAGAGAAGGAAAUCAAGCGACAGGCGCUAAUGGAGUUGGUUGACUUUAUACAAUCCGGGUCAGGGAAGAUCACGGAAAAUUGUCAGGAAGAAAUGAUUAGAAUGAUAUCGGUAAAUAUAUUCCGGUGCUUGCCUCCGGCUUCGCAUGAAAAUACAGGGCAAGAGGUUAACGACCCAGAAGAGGAGGAACCUUGCUUGGAACCAGCAUGGCCCCACCUGCAGCUUGUGUACGAGCUGCUUCUGAGGUAUGUGGUGUCGUCGGAUACCGACACCAAGGUUGCCAAGCGAUACAUUGAUCAUUCUUUUGUGUUGAAAUUACUUGAUUUGUUUGACUCUGAGGACCAUCGGGAGCGAGAAUAUCUGAAAACCAUCCUACAUCGUAUAUACGGAAAAUUCAUGGUUCAUAGACCAUUUAUUAGGAAGGCAAUUAAUAACAUUUUUUACCGGUUUAUAUAUGAGACUGAGAGGCAUAGCGGUGUCGGAGAGCUUCUUGAGAUUCUCGGCAGUAUAAUCAAUGGCUUUGCACUGCCAAUGAAAGAGGAGCACAAGUUGUUUCUUGUUCGAGCCCUUAUUCCUCUACAUAAACCUAAGCCCGUUGCUAUCUAUCAUCAGCAGUUGUCAUAUUGUAUCACUCAGUUUGUUGAAAAGGAUUUCAAGCUGGCAGAUACAGUUAUUAGGGGCCUAUUAAAGUAUUGGCCGCUGACCAAUUGCCAGAAGGAAGUUCUCUUCCUUGGAGAACUGGAGGAAGUGCUGGAAGCUACACAGGGUGCGGAAUUUCAACGCUGCAUGGUGCCCCUUUUCAGACAGAUUGGCCGCUGUCUCAACAGUCCUCACAUUCAGGUUGCAGAACGAGCCCUGUUUUUAUGGAAUAAUGAGCAUAUUGUUAGCUUGAUAGCCCAAAACCGGGCUGUGAUAUUCCCGAUAAUAUAUGAAGCACUGGAGAAAAAUAUUCAGAGUCAUUGGAACCAGGCGAUUCAUGGGUUGACUGUGAACGUACGGAAAAUGUUCACGGAAAUGGAUGCCGAAUUGUUUGAAGAGUGCCAGAGGCAAUAUGCAGAGAAAGAGGCGAAGGCCAAAUCGAUGGAAGAGCAGAGAGAAUUGAAUUGGAAGAGACUAGCUGAUGCGGCUGCAGGGAGAGGGAAUCACAUGGUUACAGCUUAGCCUGACCUCGCAUCAUCACCUCAGCAACUGGGAGUGACUGGAUAUGCGAAACAAGUUAGGAAGUAAUUUUGCUCCUCUUCACUUCGGUUGGCAAGAAAGGACGCCAUGUUUGUUCCAAUGGAAGCUGAGCUGCUUGUUCCCGCGUUGAUGCCGCAUCACGCGAGUUAGUGGAUGACGAAGCACCUGAUGCUAAUUUAUGUGCUCGCGAGAUGCCCAUGGCAUAAUUUCUAGUGGACGAAACUAAAUUCCAUCCAAGUCUAGGGUCUUUUUUUUUUUUUUUUGGCACAACCAAGUCUAGGGUCAAAGUGCCGAAAUUCUAAAAAGAAAGAAAGAAAGAAAGAAACCCAGAAUUUGUCUGAUUUCCUUCUAGCACUAGUAAUGAAAUACAAUAGUUUAUAUUUUACUGAUAGGUUUAGUUUAUAUUUCAUCUAGCACCAGUAAUGAAAUACAAUAGCACUAGAAUGGCUUCCUCCAUUUGUUAUAUUUUAUAUUGUUAUCGAUGAUAGGUUGGAAGA